CGUUUCUGUGUUCAUUGCUGAACUCGUGAACAGACUUAUAAACAGGUACGAAAAAAACCCCUCUUUGCAAUCUAAAACUCAUCAUUCAGUAUGAGUCUUGAUACAUAUAAGAAAGAAUAUU